AAGGAAUGACGCCAUAGAAUGCAAAUUGUCGGUGCUCAUCUUUUAAUUUCAGCAGUCUGGGUGCUGGGGGACUCAGGCAAUAAAGAUUGGCACAGAAGUAGCACUGUCCCCGCAUGGCAGAGCCAUAUGGGCAAGGCUGGCAGGAGAAGGCACAGUGGGGAACAGCAAGGACCCCGAGGCAGCAGGAAACCAGAAUAUCCCACACUCACAUGUGGUCAAGAUGAUGUGAAGAAGCAAACCCCUAACCCCACCUCCAGUGCUGUGGCACUCCUAAAGCCACUGCCGAAUUUAGGGGCAACACGGGGGAAAUAUUGGGAGGAUUUAUAGAUGAGUCAUUAAAUUUCUGUCGCCCAGCAGGACAGGACACAAAAUAGAAAUCAAGCUGUUCUGUAAAAGAGUAAAGUCACAGUCCUCUACUCCUCAAUUUGUGGACUGAGAUUUGGACACACAUAGUAGAUCACAGAGCCAAGACACUAGCAGUGACGACGGGUGUCCAGGUCCAGGGGACUGAAUGACAGGACUCAGUGACCUGCCAAGGAUGAGCAAGGAGUCAGUGAGGGUCUCAGUUCCGUGGAUGUGAGAUUUUGGCCUCUAGAGAGGGGACAAUACUUCGGAACAAGAAUCACUCAUGAUAAUUUUCUAUGACCUGAGAAAAUCCCCUCAAGAGCUUUCAAUUCCAUUUGCUCUGAUUGCAGCCUCACUAAGCAACCUUCUGAUGGCUCUUAGUUUCCCAGGUAACCUGAAGAACAUUCUGGCUUAUUAUGUAUCAGUCUUUGAGAGUCUAAUUAGGGCUACCUUGAGAACCUGGUCAAAUUAGGUUGCAUCUACAAGUUCAGGGGUCUGGUGAUGCACAUCUGAGGCCCAGGCUCCAUACCUUCAACCGCAUUGAGGUUCUGCCAGUCCAGGGUUUCUGGACGCCUUUCUGAAGCCAAUUAUUAGCACUCCAGUAAGGAGGAGAUUGACUGCUGUAACCCAGCAUGUACCUCGGUGGGGAAGGAGAGGGAGAGAGCCUAUCGGAAGCACUGGAGAUGGAGUUACUGUUGAGAGUCACUGUUGUGAGCCACUCUGCUGAGCUCCAUUUUCACUUUUAGGAGUCAAUCCUGGGGACGUCCCUCUCUGGAGCCAUUUCACAGGUUUUGAUGAUAACAUUUAUUAUUGUUUGCUUCCAGGUAUUUUCAUUUUUCAUUGCAAUUUUUUCUUUGACCCAUGGUUAAUUCAGAAGUCUUUCAACUGUUGUCAAAGCAUACAUGAUUAUUUAGAAGUUACUUGUUACAAAUUUCUGCCUUUACUACAUUUUGUCAGAGAAUGAGAAACCCUGUGGUACGUUUGAGUAGGUUUGAAUCCUGAUUCUGCCUCCUGCCAUCUGUGUCAUUGUUAGCAAGUCACUGAGUCUCAGAAUCCUCACAACCAGGACAACUGGGGUCCCGGCAAGGAGACCACGUGUGGACAAACCUGUACGUUAUGCCCAGGAGCUCAACUCCGGCUGGUUUGUGCUGCAACAUCGCCGAGGACUCCACCCAACUUAUAAGCGGGACUUGCUCCAUCUGCUCCCUCUGGCCUCUCACUUGCCACUCUGGUUGCUGCCUGGGCCCCACCCGCCUGCCUUGGCUACUUCCAUUUCUGCUUGUGGACAGAGGGCAAUGCAUCCAGGAAACGUCCCAAUGUGGAAAUGCGGCUCUCACCGCCCCUGAUACAAACUAAACACAUUCUUUCCAGAAAGCCUCCCUUCCCCCUGGACACAAUGACCUAAGGGGAACAAAUAGCCAACCCAGACUCCUGGCUCCUGCGGUGACUGGCCAGAGACUCCCACAUCCUUUCCCACACCCUGUGCAGCCCACCCCCACCACCCCUCAUCCAGCAUCCUCCAGAGAGAGGGGAAGAGAGAGGAGGGGGAGCCUGGAACUUUGUAUUCCAUAUGUACAUGGGUGGAGGCAAAUCGGUGCAUCGUGGAGAGAUAGUCCCACUCCACUAGCAAAAGCCUUCCUCCAGAUAUCAGUGCAAACUCCUCAGGGCAAUCACUGGUACAAAAUCAUCUCUAGCGCAAAGUCAUAUUUCUUUUCUUCCCAUUCCCCUCAUUUUCUGAUCCCAAUUUCAUCUGCAGCUGGGAUCUAUUUAAAUUUCUAACUUCCAGGCAUAUCUAACUUUUUGUCUUUGGUGGGAAGAAGACUGACUACAUAGAAUAAUAAUCAUGAAAUAAUUUAUUUCUUAAAAUAAAUUUUAAAAAUAAAAAUAAAAAUUAUUAAUAGUAAGAA